rnacentral:rRNA from 1 species
GAUGAACGCUAGCGGCAGGCUUAAUACAUGCAAGUCGUGGGGCAGCAGGACUGUAGCAAUACAGUUGCUGGCGACCGGCAAACGGGUGCGGAACACGUACGCAACUUACCCUGAACUGGGGGAUAGCCCGGGGAAACCCGGAUUAAUACCCCGUCAUAUAAUGGAGUGGCAUCACUUUAUUAUUAAAGCUCCGGCGGUUCGGGAUGGGCGUGCGGCUGAUUAGGUAGUUGGUUGAGGUAACGGCUCACCAAGCCUACGAUCAGUAACUGGUGUGAGAGCACGACCAGUUACACGGGCACUGAGACACGGGCCCGACUGCUACGGGAGGCAGCAGUAAGGAAUAUUGGGCAAUGGAGGCAACUCUGACCCAGCCAUGCCGGGUGGAGGAUGAAGGCCCUCGGGGUUGUAAACUUCUUGUACAGGGGACGAAACCUGUGUAUUCUUACGCAGUUGACGGUACCCUAGGAAUAAGCACCGGCUAACUCCGUG